rnacentral:rRNA from 1 species
AUGCCCCUGGACUUCACCAAGCACUUCGUCGCAGUGCCGACGGAGUUCAAGCUUAGGAACAACACCGACUGCUCCUGGAAGGUGACGGUCAAGUUGAUGAAUGACAGGGUGACCCUGGAUCAGGGUUGGGCCACCUACGAAGCCGUUCAUCAGAUCAAGAUCGGCUACAUGGUGACGUUCAAGCUCCUGACUCCCGACACCCUCAAGGUCAUCAUCUUCGACGAGGAUGGCUUUGAGGUCGUCAACAAGUGCGGGAAGCACGACGAAGCCUUCGCCGCCAAGGAGUAG